UGGGUAACCUGCCUCAAAGAGGGGAAUAGCCUCCCGAAAGGGAGAUUAAUACCGCAUAAUAUGUUUUGAUCGCAUGAUCGAGACAUCAAAGGAAUUUCCUCGGAAAUUCCACUUUGAGAUGGACCCGCGGCGCAUUAGCUAGUUGGAGAGGUAACGGCUCGCCAAGGCGACGAUGCGUAGCCGACCUGAGAGGUGAUCGGCACAUUGAACUGAGACNCGUCCAGACUCCG
rnacentral:rRNA from 1 species